UACGAAGGGGGCUAGCGUUGUUCGGAUUGACUGGGCGUAAAGGGCGCGUAGGCGGUUUGCAUAGUCAGACGUGAAAUUCCUGGGCUUAACCUGGGGGCUGCGUUUGAUACAUGCAGGCUUGAGUUCGGAAGAGGGUCGUGGAAUUCCCAGUGUAGAGGUGAAAUUCGUAGAUAUUCGGAAGAACACCAAUGGCGAAGGCGACUUACUGGACACAUAUUGACGCUGAGGUGCGAAAGCGUGGGGAGCAAACAGG
rnacentral:rRNA from 1 species